rnacentral:rRNA from 1 species
AUUGAACGCUGGCGGCAUGCCUUACACAUGCAAGUCGAACGGCAGCGGGCCUUCGGGUGCCGGCGAGUGGCGAACGGGUGAGUAAUGCAUCGGAACGUGCCAUUGAGUGGGGGAUAACGUAGCGAAAGUUACGCUAAUACCGCAUAUUCUGUGAGCAGGAAAGCAGGGGACCGCAAGGCCUUGCGCUCUUUGAGCGGCCGAUGUCAGAUUAGCUAGUUGGUGAGGUAAAGGCUUACCAAGGCGACGAUCUGUAGCGGGUCUGAGAGGAUGAUCCGCCACACUGGAACUGAGACACGGUCCAGACUCCUACGGGAGGCAGCAGUGGGGAAUUUUGGGCAAUGGGCGCAAGCCUGAUCCAGCCAUGCCGCGUGAGUGAAGAAGGCCUUGGUGUAAAGCUCUUUCGGUCCGGGAAGAAAGUACGCAUGGGUUAA